AGAGUUUGAUCAUGGCUCAGAACGUACGCUGGCGGCACGCCUAACACAUGCAAGUCGAACGCAGUAGCAAUACUGAGUGGCAAACGGGUGAGUAUAAUGUGGGAAUCUGCCUUUUGGUUUGGAAUAACACGGGGAAACUUGUGCUAAUACUGAAUAAGCCCUUACGGGGAAAGUUUUAACGCCGAAAGAUGAGCCCGCACUUGAUUAGCUAGUUGGUAAGGUAAAAGCUUACCAAGGCAACGAUCAAUAGCUGUUCUUAGAGGAAGACCAGCCACAUUGGGACUGAGACACGGCCCAGACUCCUACGGGAGGCAGCAGUGGGGAAUCUUGCACAAUGGGGGAAACCCUGAUGCAGCGAUGCCGCGUGAGUGAAGAAGGCCCUUGGGUUGUAAAACUCUUUCGUCGGGGAAGAAAAUGACUGUACCCGAAUAAGAAGGUCCGGCUAACUUCGUGCCAGCAGCCGCGGUAAUACGAAGGGACCUAGCGUAGUUCGGAAUUACUGGGCUUAAAGAGCUCGUAGGUGGUUAAAAAAGUUGAUGGUGAAAUCCCAAGGCUCAACCUUGGAACUGCCAUCAAAACUUUUUAGCUAGAGUGUGAUAGAGGUAAGUGGAAUUUCUAGUGUAGAGGUGAAAUUCGUAGAUAUUAGAAAGAACACCAAAUGCGAAGGCAACUUACUGGGUCACUACUGACACUGAGGAGCGAAAGCAUGGGUAGCGAAGAGGAUUAGAUACCCUCGUAGUCCAUGCCGUAAACGAUGUGUGCUAGACGUUGGAAAUAUAUUUUUCAGUGUCGCAGCGAAAGCAUUAAGCACACCGCCUGGGGAGUACGACCGCAAGGUUAAAACUCAAAUGAAUUGACGGGGACCCGCACAAGCAGUGGAGCAUGG
rnacentral:rRNA from 1 species